rnacentral:rRNA from 1 species
GACGAACGCUGGCGGCGUGCCUAAUACAUGCAAGUAGAACGAAGAAGGAGGAGCUUGCUUCCCUGGACGAGUUGCGCACGGGUGAGUAACGCGUAGGUAACCUGCCUCGUAGAGGGGGAUAACUAUUGGAAACGCUAGCUAAUAUCGCAUAAGAGAAGAUGAUGCAUGACAUUUACUUAAAAGGUGCAAUUUUGUCACUACCAGAUGGACCUGCCGUGGAUUAGUUAGUUGGUGAGGUAAAGGCUCAUCAAGGCAACGAAACAUAGUCGCCCUGGGAGGGGGAUCGGCCACACUGGGACUGGAACCCGGCCCAGGCGCCUGCGGGGGGCAACAGUAGGGGAUCUUCGGCAAUGGACGGAAGUCUGACCGAGCAACGCCGCGUGAGUGAAGAAGGGUUUCGGAUCGUAAAGCUCUUUUGUUAGGGAAGAACGAGUGUGAGAGUGAAAAGUUCACACUGUGACGGUACCUUACCAGAAAGGGACGGCUAACUACGUG